UACUCCUUCCGCACGUCCGCUCCACCUGUCACCUGCACUGUCAGAUACAGGAAGUGACAUCAUAACCCUACACACGCUCACUCUCUCUCUCCAGACAGGAAGGGAGACGCUCCUGGGAUCACAUCGUUGUCUUCCAAACGGACGGCUCCAUGCCGCCGUUUCCACGGCAACCGUUCAUCUGGAGGGACCUGGGUGGAGGCAAGGAGGACCGCGCCCAGGUCCAGGUGGAGCGUUGAACCCGCGCGCUGUUACGCGUUGCCUCGCUCAAGUCAUAAAUUAACUCAGGGAAUAGAACCGCUGGCGAGCCGGCAAGUACCUCUUGGAGGUGGCUGGUGGUUCUGGUCAAGGACGCCCGGCUGACCGGUUCUACGGUAACCCCUGCAGACCGCUGGCUGCUUCCUCAUAAAGAAAACACCUGAAGCUUUCAGCGGUACACAACCAACCAAAGGUCAGAGAGAGAGAAGGGUAGAGACAGUGAGCGAGCGCGAAAGGGAGAGUGAGAGAAUCAACCAAAGGUCAGGACUCUCCUCUGAUGCAUCAUAUACCAGAGAGAGAGAAAGAGGGGGGGGGGGGAGACAGACCCUGACAUGGUCAGUCUAUGAGGGUCAUCCAUUCAUCUCCUGGUAGAGCAGUAAAUACUGACCUCUCCUUUUACCCGGAGAGCUCUGAGAAGCCAGUUAAGGCGGUAAACUGGCGUGAUCUUAUUUCCUUCAUUUGUUCGAGAGACAGCUAAUCACUGCUUCCCUCGAGUAACUUAUCUCGUGUGUGUGUGUGUGUGUGUGUGCGAUUGUGUUACAGUGUCUGUGUGCAUGCGUGAGUGUGUGUUACAGUGUGUGUGUGUGUGUGUGUGUGUGUGUGUUACAGUGUGCACAUCAUUUAACAACAAACAACAUUUCAUGAGCAGCUGUAACGACAGGUGGUCCUCUUCAGAACCUCAGCACUGAUCAAGAAGAUCUGGACAUGUUCUUCAGAGUACAGCAUAGAUAGAAGAGUACAACAGUAUGAGUAGUAGAGUACCACAGAACCAGUGCUGGAGUAGUACAGUACCACAGUACCAGUACUAGAGUAGUACAGUACCACAGUAACAGUACUACCGAGAUCGUACCAGGGUUCUGGUGCAUGAGAAACCAAAGGAUGUCACCUUGAUGUAAGCUGCUGGAUUCUGUCAGCGCAUCGACUUCCCAUUCUCUCCUGAUCCAGUCCUAUCCAGUCUUAUCCAGACCUGAUCCAGUCUCGAUCCAGUCCUGAUCCAGUCCUAACCAGAUCUGAUCCAGUCCUUACUGUCCUAAAGAGUAUUGCUGGUGUGUUUCAGAGCUCCAACGUCCCCACUCUGAAGUUGAGGUGUGUUUCAGAGCUCCAACGUCCCCACUAUGAAGGUGAGGUGUGUUUCAGAGCUCAAACAUCCCCACUCUGAAGGUGAGGUGUGUUUCAGAGCUCCCCUCUGAAGGUGAGGCUGGUUUCAGAGCUCCAACGUCCCCACUAUGUAGGUGAGGUGUGUUUCAGAGCUCCAACGUCCCCACUAUGUAGGUGAGGUGUGUUUCAGAGCUCAAACGUCCCCACUAUGUAGGUGAGGUGUGUUUCAGAGUUCCCCUCUGAAGGGGAGGUGUGUUUCCAGCCCCUUUGGGUGGGUUGUGCUGUACGUAGGAGGUCCCCUUGUGACGGAUCUGUUCCUUGUGGAGGAACCUCCGCCGUGCUCGUACGCGUGUGUGCUUAAAGUCCUGAUCCAGCUGGAAUGCUAAUGAAACCUGGGGGAAGCAGCAUGAAGGCCCAGCUUCUGGUCCAACCUAAAGCUAGAACUGGACUGGAUUCAAACUAAAGCUAGGAAAAGCGUCGGGGGCUCGGAGAGACCUCUGUCGUCGGCCGGCAGAGUUGGGUUCCUUGACGUGGCAGCUCGGACGCUGCCCGGUUCUCCUGGUCCGGCUCGGGGGAAGGGGGGGGGGGGGUCCUCACACGUCAUGGGAGGGGAGGUCAGGGAUGGAGCUCCGUGCUCUGGUGAGGAACGCCAUCUUAUCUCUGAGGAGAGAACACCCGUCAGAACAACUGAUGGCUUCUGUAACACUAGCAGAUAUAGCUACUGUUAGCUUCUGUAUCAAUAGCAGAUAUAGCUACUGUUAGCUUCUGUAACACUAGCAGAUAUAGCUACUGUUAGCUU
ensembl:lncRNA